GACGAACGCUGGCGGCGUGCUUAACACAUGCAGGUCGAACGGAAAGGCCCUGCUUUUGUGGGGUGCUCGAGUGGCGAACGGGUGAGUAACACGUGAGUAACCUGCCCUUGACUUUGGGAUAACUUCAGGAAACUGGGGCUAAUACCGGAUAGGAGCUCCUGCUGCAUGGUGGGGGUUGGAAAGUUUCGGCGGUUGGGGAUGGACUCGCGGCUUAUCAGCUUGUUGGUGGGGUAGUGGCUUACCAAGGCUUUGACGGGUAGUCGGCCUGAGAGGGUGACCGGCCAAAUUGGGACUGAGAUACCGCCCAGACUCCUAAGGGGGGCAGGAGGGGGGAAUAAUGGACAAUGGGGGGAAGCCUGAUUCAGCAACGCCGGGGGGGGGAUGACGGGCUUCGGGGUGGAAACCGCUUUCGCCUGUGACGAAGCGUGAGUGACGGUAAUGGGUAAAGAAGCACCGGCUAACUACGUG
rnacentral:rRNA from 1 species